UACGUAGGGUGCAAGCGUUGUCCGGAAUUAUUGGGCGUAAAGAGCUCGUAGGCGGUUUGUCGCGUCUGCUGUGAAAACUCGGGGCUCAACCCCGAGCCUGCAGUCGAUACGGGCAGACUAGAGUGCGUGUAGGGGAGACUGGAAUUCCUGGUGUAGCGGUGAAAUGCGCAGAUAUCAGGAGGAACACCUGUGGUGUAGACAGCUACUGGACCACUUCUGACGCUGAGACACGAAAGCGUGGUAGCAAACAGGAUU
rnacentral:rRNA from 1 species